rnacentral:rRNA from 1 species
GACGAACGCUGGCGGCGUGCCUAACACAUGCAAGUCGAGCGGAGAUAGACUGAUGGUAACUGAAGCUUAUCUUAGCGGCGGACGGGUGAGUAACACGUGGGCAACCUGCCUUGGAGUGGGGGAUAACACCGGGAAAUCGGUGCUAAUACCGCAUAACAUACACAAACUGCAUGGUAAGUGUAUCAAAGGAGUAAUCCGCUUUAAGAUGGGCCCGCGGCUGAUUAGCUAGUUGGUAAGGUAACGGCUUACCAAGGCGACGAUCAGUAGCCGACCUGAGAGGGUGACCGGCCACACUGGAACUGAGACACGGUCCAGACUCCUACGGGAGGCAGCAGUGGGGAAUAUUGCGCAAUGGGGGGAACCCUGACGCAGCAACGCCGCGUGGAGGAAGAAGGUCUUCGGAUUGUAAACUCCUGUCUUCUGGGACGAAUAAUGACGGUACCAGAGGAGGAAGCCACGGCUAACUACGUG